AUGAACGCUAGCUACAGGCUUAACACAUGCAGUCAGGGGCAGCAUGAACAUAGCUUGCUAUGUUUGAUGGCGACCGGCGCACGGGUGCGUAACACGUAUCCAAUCUGCCCGUUACUCGGGGAUAGCCUUCUGAAAGGAAGAUUAAUACCCGAUGGCAUGUAUUUCCGGCAUCGGAGAUACAUUAAAGAUUUAUCGGUAACGGAUGAGGAUGCAUACGAUUAGCUGGUUGGCGGGGUAACGGCCCACCAAGGCGACGAUCGUUAGGGGUUCUGAGAGGAAGGUCCCCCACACUGGAACUGAGACACGGUCCAGACUCCUACGGGAGGCAGCAGUGAGGAAUAUUGGUCAAUGGUCGAGAGACUGAACCAGCCAUGCCGCGUGAAGGUCACGGCCCUAUGGGUCUUAAACUUCUUUUGUAAGGGAGCAAUAAGUCUCACGUGUGGGAUGAUGAGAGUACCUUACGAAUAAGCAUCGGCUAACUCCGUG
rnacentral:rRNA from 1 species